rnacentral:rRNA from 1 species
UACGUAGGGUGCAAGCGUUGUCCGGAAUUAUUGGGCGUAAAGAGCUCGUAGGCGGUUUGUUGCGUCGGCUGUGAAAUCCCGAGGCUCAACCUCGGGUCUGCAGUCGAUACGAGCAAACUAGAGUGUUGCAGGGGAGACUGGAAUUCCUGGUGUAGCGGUGAAAUGCGCAGAUAUCAGGAGGAACACCGGUGGCGAAAGCGGCUUACUGGGUCUCUUCUGACGCUGAGGUACGAAAGCUAGGGUAGCGAACGGG